AAUGACUCUCGGCAACGGAUAUCUCGGCUCUCGCAUCGAUGAAGAACGUAGCGAAAUGCGAUACUUGGUGUGAAUUGCAGAAUCCCGUGAACCAUCGAGUCUUUGAACGCAAGUUGCGCCCGAAGCCGUUAGGCCGAGGGCACGUCUGGCUGGGUGUCACACAACG
rnacentral:rRNA from 2 species